rnacentral:lncRNA from 1 species
AGAGGGAUUCACACGGACAAAAGGGAGCUCGCAAAGGUGUCCGACCAAAGUCUGCGUCCCGUGUUUUCAUGGUGAUGACUGCAUUUACGCGUGGACGGGCCUAAUAGCCCUACGCCUCGGCGGUAGUACGAUUAGUUGUGUUACAACGGUUCAUGGUCGCCGUAUUGUCGAAGCACUGUGGUUUGCGAAACUAUCUCAGUUCGGUCUCGAUGUUCUCUCUGCUUAACAUCCGUUAUUUUCCACGUUCAUUGGAGGGCGACGUUUGGCCGCCCGCUGAAUAUCAGUAACAAGUGUGCUUGUUGCAUCUUUUAUGAAUGACGCGGCGGCCUUUGUGUGAUAUAAGAGGCUAACAGCGAUUUGAGGUCGAUACUUGGUUUCAGAGGGUACCGGGUCGCCUUCGCAAUACUCCCAGAUCGGUGCGAAUGGUGUGAUGUCAGACUAAUUUGGGGGUCCCGCCUGCCGAGGCGGUCCACGUAAAGUGUUUGUCGAUUCCACGUGCGAGCUUGGGCACAAGAGCAGCUCAGUACUUCAGGCACCUGCCUUUCCCUUGAAGAGCUCAUCUGAUCGUGACACGCUGAUCGCUUGCCUUUCCACUGUCGACGCAUGUCGUCGAUCGCGGUGUUGCAUCUGCUGGUAGACGUGCCAGUGACGAUCCUUGGAAUUACGAACAGCGCGUGGUUUCUGCGGCAGAAUGUGGAUCAGUUACGUAUCCCAUAUACGGCAGCAAAAGGUCGAUGGUCCCCGAGCUCGUCAGAUCACUUUGUGGUUCUUGGGGUAAGGAACAGUGGAUCGCUGACGGUUCUGGCAGGAGAGCUGCGCGGUUGCGGAAGGCCCCGAAUAUAUAUGCGGAGUCGCACGAUACAAAGCAUGCAUACCUCGAUUCCUAACUCCAUGCCAGGGCGUGAAACGGUCGAUAAGACACGCAGUGGUUAUCGGUGGGGUGAUGUGUGUCCACUCCAUGACGUCUUCACUAGUCCCAAGUCCUAUGAGCCUCAUGUAAACUCUGAUUGAGUAGGAAUUCCUCUGUGCCGCAGGCGGCACUGCGGCACCAGCGAUGCAUGGUUAGUUUCCCGAUAGUUGAAAUCCGCUUCGCUUCUUUCUCAGCGUGGUGUCUGCUGCC